UACGUAGGCAGCGAGCGUUGUUCGGAAUUACUGGGCGUAAAGAGUGUGUAGGCGGUGUUCCAAGUUCGGUGUGAAAUCUCCCGCUUAACUGGGAGGGUGCGCCGAAAACUGGAAUGCUCGAGCGUGGGAGAGGAAAGUGAGUACUCGUGGUGAUAGCGGUGAAAUGCGUAGAUAUCAGGAGGAACACCGGUGGUGUAACGGCUUUCUGGACCAUACUGACGCUGAAGACGAAAGCGUGGGUAGCAAACAGG
rnacentral:rRNA from 1 species